UACGUAGGUGGCAAGCGUUGUCCGGAUUUACUGGGCGUAAAGAGCGCGCAGGCGGUCGUGCAAGUCGCGUGUGAAAGCCCCCGGCUCAACUGGGGAGGGUCACGCGAUACUGUUCGACUCGAAGGCAGGAGAGGGAAGCGGAAUUCCCGGUGUAGUGGUGAAAUGCGUAGAUAUCGGGAGGAACACCAGUGGCGAAGGCGGCUUCCUGGCCUGUUCUUGACGCUGAGGCGCGAAAGCUAGGGGAGCGAACGGG
rnacentral:rRNA from 1 species